rnacentral:rRNA from 1 species
CUACGGGUGGCAGCAGUGAGGAAUAUUGCACAAUGGGGGGAACCCUGAUGCAGCAACGCCGCGUGGAGGAUGACGCAUUUCGGUGUGUAAACUCCUUUUAUAUGUCAAGAAAAUGACGGUAGCAUAUGAAUAAGCACCGGCUAACUCCGUGCCAGCAGCCGCGGUAAUACGGAGGGUGCAAGCGUUACUCGGAGUCACUGGGCGUAAAGGACGCGUAGGCGGGUUGGAAAGUCAGGUGUGAAAGCCUACAGCUUAACUGUAGAACUGCACUUGAAACUUCUAAUCUAGAGUAUGGGAGGGGGAGAUGGAAUUAGUGGUGUAGGGGUAAAAUCCGUAGAUAUCACUAGGAAUACCUAAAGCGAAGGCGAUCUCCUGGAACAUUACUGACGCUAAGGCGUGAAAGCGUGGGGAGCAAACAGGAUUAGAUACCCCUGUAGUC